AACGCGUGGGUAUCUACCUAGAGGUUUGGAACAACUAUUGGAAACGAUAGCUAAUACCAAAUAUUCCCUAAGGGGGAAAGAUUUAUCGCCUUUAGAUGAGCCCGCGUCGGAUUAGCUUGUUGGUAGGGUAAAGGCCUACCAAGGCAACGAUCCGUAGCUGGUCUGAGAGGAUGAUCAGCAAGAUUGGGACUGAGACACGGCCCAGACUCCUACGGGAGGCAGCAGUGGGGAAUAUUGCGCAAUGGGGGAAACCCUGACGCAGCGAUGCCGCGUGAGUGAAGAAGGCCUUAGGGUUGUAAAACUCUUUCACCGGUGAAGAUAAUGACGGUAGCCGGAGAAGAAGCCCCGGCUAACUCCGUGCCAGCAGCCGCGGUAAUACGGAGGGGGCUAACGUUGUUCGGAAUUACUGGGCGUAAAGCGCGCGUAGGCGGAUUAGACAGUUGAGGGUGAAAUCCCGGAGCUUAACUCCGGAACUGCCUUCAAUACUACUAAUCUUGAGUUCGGAAGAGGUGAGUGGAAUUCCUAGUGUAGAGGUGAAAUUCGUAGAUAUUGGGAAGAACAUCGGUGGCGAAGGCGAUUUCCUGGGCCAAUUCUGACGCUGAGGUUCGAAAGCGUGGGUAGCAAACAGGAUUAGAUACCCUGGUAGUCCACGCCGUAAACGAUGAGUGCUAGACGUUGGAGAUUAAUUCUUCAGUGUCGU
rnacentral:rRNA from 1 species